CACACACGCUCGUUCGGCCGCUCGGUUCAUAAGAUGUUACUGAGCGCCUGCCGUGUGCCACGUCUGGCUAGGCCCUGGUACACGGCGGUGAGCAGGGAGCACACAUGCCCUCUGGCAAAAAACAACAACAAAAAAACCCAUAGCAGCUCAGUGGUUACCGCUGCCAGCAGCGCCUGGCGACAAGUGUGAGCGUGUGCGGGCAGUGGCAGCUUCGCGGCUCGAAGCAGGACACCGGGACGCCAGCAGACGUGCUCUGAGAACUACCCGUAGCUGUCGCGUUGCGUCUGUGAGACCAUACCGCCCGGCUCCUGCUAAAUCGCAGUGCCCAGUCCCGGGCUCGACCUGCAGGCCGCUCUCUAGGAAAUGUCACCGGUGUGUCCUUUGGAGAAGGCAGUCAUGUCGAGCUCUUCUCACGUCUCUCCAGGAGAAGCCCCGAGGCGGUCACUGAUAAGAGCAGCAUCACUGUCAUUGUCCCCAGCCUGACAACAAUGAGGCCAGCGUCCUGAGGCCAACCGAGGACCACCACCAGGCAGUGCUCAACUUGCUUUCUUCUUUGUCUUUACUGUGGUAACGCUCGUGCACCUGAGUGAGAGAGCACCACUGGGUCUGGUCAUGCCACGAUCCCUUCCUCCGGCCCUCUGGCCUGUCAGAUCUUGGGCACUCUCGCUCAUGCCCAUGUGUUCAGGCUGAUGGAGUCGAGGACUCGAACCACAGUUUCCAUGUGGGAUUCACUUCUCGCUCAUGCCCGUGUGUUCAGGCUGACGGAGUCGAGGACUCGAACCACAGUUUCCAUGUGGGACUCACUUCUCGAGCAGUGUGCUACCACAGCACCACGGAGCUGGCCCAGACGGGCCUUCUUAUCCCCAAAGUCCCUCAUCAAA